rnacentral:misc_RNA from 1 species
GCACAGGGGAUUUGAGUUUUGUUUCAGAAAAACUGUAUCUGCAGACAAGAUGGUGAAGAGAAACUGAAAUUUACUGUUUGAUUCCAGGAAACCCUAAAUUGAUUAAUUUUCUCGUUGAUGUCAAAUUGGUAUUCUUCCAUGCACUGGUUUUAAAGAAAAUAUUCAAGAAACUGUUGUCUAAGUUACAUUGGUAUUCAUAGGAAAUUGUUGUUU